rnacentral:lncRNA from 1 species
UUUGUGCUGCGUGCAAAACUGCAGCUUUUCUCUCUUCUAUUUCACUUGUUUGAAAGCAGAAUUACAACGAGUGAUCAACCACUUCCCGAGUCCAAUGGUCAUGCCAUCCCACGACCCUCGCGAUGCGGCUGGAUCGCGCCCGCCAGCUGCGACGGCAUGCCAUCCCAUGCUCAGUAAACGGGCGCGCAAAGCUAGCUAAUCUCUAACAGAAAACUGAACUGAAAACAAACUAACCUAUACUACUGCUGGUCAUCGUUCCGCUUAUUCUGCUAACUGAAGAAAGGGAAAGCUAACCUAUCUACUACGCCGGGUUAGGGCAUUACUUGUUCAACACCUAGCCCCUCCAUGUGGCCUACCUUAGCCUCUAGUCGAGCCCAAGCUCCACCGUCGUCCAGCGUUCCCCUGCCUCCACUCCGCAUAGCAACCGCGCGGGAGGAACCCCGC